rnacentral:piRNA from 1 species
UGAUUGCUGAAGUCAUAUACUGAGCUACUC